GCAACUUAGCUAAUCCGACAUUAUCUAGAGGCAUCAUUUUCCCAAACAUUGUCCCAAGAACCAGUUGGAGCAGCUUUUGGUCCCUCAGUGUAGCCCUGAAUGGCAUGAGGGUUACCCGGUCCAGGAAGUGGACGUCCGUCAGGGCCUGGUGGGUGGACUUUCCUGGGCUUUGUCCUGAUCCCCAGCAGCCUGAACACAAAUCUAGCAAGCUCACCAUAUAGCAUUCCAGACCGAUCGAAAAGCUGCAGAACAAGCCAGAUUGCUGAGAGCUCAGUAUUUGAUACAAUAUCACAAGAAGACUAAAUCCUAAUAAAAGCUUUCACAGUCUUAACAUAUUUAGUUCCAUGAUAUCUCCAACAUAAGCAAGUUAUAAAAUAUAAUGGAUCAGUGCUCUUACCAUGCUAAAGGUCUUUUACAAAUAAUGACAUCCAGUAAAACCAAUCAUCUCUCAAAGUUUCCAUCAUCUUUGAAAAGUGAAAAAGAAAUGAAUUUUCCCCUCAGAUUCACACUAGCUUUGAUCCUAAUCAUGCAUUUAUUUUUCAAAUGCACUUUCCUUUCAAGCCAAUUUUUACCAAAAGAUAUAAUAGUACCUAUCUAACUUCCUUCCAUGAACAUUACGACCCCCUUCAAUUAAAAAACUUGCGCAGCAAACGGACAAAGUUUAAGCAAUGCGGUUUCCUCAUUCAAAUUUACUCCAGAAUUCUCAAAUUGGACAGGACAGGACAGUACAGUCGCAAUGGGCAUGCGCAUGUACAUAUUUCUGCACAGGGAGAUACACAAACUUUAAUUGUGGUCCAUUUUGACGGAGAGAAAGUGGUGCUUAAGGUGAAAGAAUGUCUAUGUAGCUGAAUCACAAUAUCAUAAAGUCAUCCUAUUAAUAGAUAGAGUCUGAAAAACCCAAUUAAUCCAUCACUCUGCAAAUACGUUCAACAUAUAAGCCACAGGACAUAAAACACUACCUGAAGAAGUGCUGUCAUAAACAGGUGGAAGGCUUGAGUAUUUUGGUCAAUAAGAAUUGAAAUGCGGCCAAAAAAGUUUACCACUCCCUGCAUCUGGCAUUAGAGAAAAGCUAAAAUGAGUUGUUUAUAAAAUAAAUUAGUAGUACAUCGCCUUAAAUUAUAGCUCUAAAUAUAGGUCUAGAGAACUAUGUCCCAUCACCUUAAAAAUCAAGAUCGAGGCAAUUACUUCAACACGUUCUGAGUACACAAUCUAAGAUAAGAAAAAUCUCACACCUAAAAACAAGGUAACAACAUGCAAUUGCAGAACAAUUAGAACCAAAAAUGGUCCUAAGACAUCACAUUUGAUAUUUCACCAGGAACUAAAAUGUAUCAAAGCUAAUUAACCAACUAAAUGAAUCACAAAACAAAGUUCACGAUAAUGCACCAAAUAACAGAUUUACAUACAUUCUGCCUUUAAGAAUUUGAUUAAUUCAACAAACUAAAAAUACAACUAUGACGUCCAAACAAAAAACUUAAGCCUCAGGUGAAGGUAUAAUACACACACACACACGUGUGUGUGUGUGUGUAUAUAUAUGUAUAUAUAUGUAUGUAUGUAUGUAUGUACGUAUGUUGUCUACCAAUAGGCCUUUAUUAACAUGUACACAAAUGAUAUAGGAUACAUUCACACCCCCUUUGAAGUGCAAACCAGACUGAGUAUAGCACUUGAAAUUGGCAAAUGGGGAGUCCCACAUGUGAAAAAAAUUGAGAUGGGAACUGGCUCUAUAAGCCCUUAGAUGGAGGGAGACAAUAUGUAUAUAAGGCCUAUAUAAAACCGUAUACAAGAAAAGUGGGAUACUUUAACAGUCUAGAAUUCUUAAGCCUGCAUUUGGAAAAUUAGCAAGGAUGGAAAGAAGUGAGUGUGAUAAAUUUCAUAAAAGCAGGACAUGAAAAUGAGAAUGAAGAGAUCACACCAAUCAAUCUUUUUUUCUAGCAAAAACAAUCAAUAACAAAAGCCACUAUUCAGUUCCAUCUAGAAGCAUAAGUUCGAAACAGUAAAAGCAAUCAGGAGGAGGUAGUACCCAAUCAACAUUCCUCAGAUGAAAUUAAUAAGGAAGAGGAAAGUGCAAGACCAUUGCUUACCACCCGUAAAAAUGAUAUCCAAAACCCUGGAGGAGAAGAUGGUUCACCAUAUGGAUUGUUUGGAUCUUGCCCUCCAUAAGGACCACCCAUUCCCAUUCCCGUUCCCAUUCCAUAGCCACCCAUUGGUCCUCCAAAUCCACCACCAUACAUUCCACCACCAUAGAGUCCAGAGGAUCCAUUAAGGCCUCCAUAGCCUCCCCUAUACAUGGAGUUACCAUACAUACUACUGCCAUACAUUCCACCUGCUCCACCAUACAUUCCAGU
rnacentral:lncRNA from 1 species